GGUUCUCUCUGAGCUGUGUUGUCUAGAACGGACAGAGGGAGUACAUCUUUGCUUUUAGGUAGCUUCUUGCUCUGAGGUAAAAAGUUUCUCCCAGGACUGUGGCUUCUUCUUCUGGAGCUGUUCAGCUUUGCUCUGGGCCAAAACAUC